rnacentral:rRNA from 1 species
AGUGAACGCUGGCGGUAGGCCUAACACAUGCAAGUCGAACGGCAGCACAGUAAGAGCUUGCUCUUACGGGUGGCGAGUGGCGGACGGGUGCGGAAUACAUCGGAAUCUACUUUUUCGUGGGGGAUAACGUAGGGAAACUUACGCUAAUACCGCAUACGACCUACGGGUGAAAGCAGGGGAUCUUCGGACCUUGCGCGAUUGAAUGAGCCGAUGUCGGAGUAGCUAGUUGGCGGGGUAAAGGCCCACCAAGGCGACGAUCCGUAGCUGGUCUGAGAGGAUGAUCAGCCACACUGGAACUGAGACACGGUCCAGACUCCGACGGGAGGCAGCAGUGGGGAAUAUUGGACAAUGGGCGCAAGCCUGAUCCAGCCAUACCGCGUGGGUGAAGAAGGCCUUCGGGUUGUAAAGCCCUUUUGUUGGGAAAGAAAAGCAGCAGGUUAAUACCCCGCUGUUCUGACGGUACCCAAAGAAUAAGCACCGGCUAACUUCGU